CCAGUUGAAUGAAGACCGUACCGUAAACCGACACAGGUGGGUAGGAUGAGAAUUCUAAGGCGCUUGAGAGAACUCAGGUGAAGGAACUCGGCAAAAUAGCACCGUAACUUCGGGAAAAGGUGUGCCCUUUGUAUGUGUAGCGCCUCGCGCGUGAAGCAGAAUAGGGUUGCAAUGAAAUGGUGGCUGCGACUGUUUAAUAAAAACAUAGCACUCUGCAAACACGAAAGUGGACGUAUAGAGUGUGACGCCUGCCCGGUGCCGGAAGGUUAAAUGAUGGGGUGCAAGCUCUUGAUUGAAGCCCCGGUAAACGGCGGCCGUAACAAUAACGGUCCUAAGGUAGCGAAAUUCCUUGUCGGGUAAGUUCCGACCUGCACGAAUGGCGUAACGAUGGCCACACUGUCUCCUCCUGGGACUCAGCGAAGUUGAAAUGUUUGUGAAGAUGCAAUCUCCCCGCGGCUAGACGGAAAGACCCCGUGCACCUUUACUGUAGCUUUACAUUGGACUUUGAUAACAUUUGUGUAGGAUAGGUGGGUGGCUUUGAAGUGGAUUCGCCAGAAUUCAUGGAGCCAACGUUGAAAUACCACCCUGAUGUUGUUGAGGUUCUAACCUAGAUCCAUUAUCUGGAUUGGGGACCGUGUAUGGUAGGCAGUUUGACUGGGGCGGUCUCCUCCCAAAUUGUAACGGAGGAGUACGAAGGUACGCUAGGUACGGUCGGAAAUCGUGCUGAUAGUGCAAUGGCAAAAGCGUGCUUAACUGCGAGACUGACAAGUCGAGCAGAUGCGAAAGCAGGUCAUAGUGAUCCGGUGGUUCUGAAUGGAAGGGCCAUCGCUCAACGGAUAAAAGGUACGCCGGGGAUAACAGGCUGAUUCCUCCCAAGAGUUCAUAUCGACGGGGGAGUUUGGCACCUCGAUGUCGGCUCAUCACAUCCUGGGGCUGUAGCCGGUCCCAAGGGUAUGGCUGUUCGCCAUUUAAAGUGGUACGUGAGCUGGGUUUAAAACGUCGUGAGACAGUUUGGUCCCUAUCUGCCGUGGGCGUUGGAAGUUUGAGUGGACCUGCUCCUAGUACGGGAGGACCGGAGUGGACGCACCUCUGGUGUACCGGUUAUGACGCCAGUCGUAUCGCCGGGUAGCUAUGUGCGGAAGAGAUAACCGCUGAAAGCAUCUAAGCGGGAAACUCUCCUCAAGAUGAGACUUCCCGAGGGUUUAACCCUCCUAAAGGUUCGUCGAAGACUACGACGUUGAUA
rnacentral:rRNA from 1 species